rnacentral:rRNA from 1 species
GGUGGUUCUGAAUGGAAGGGCCAUCGCUCAACGGAUAAAAGGUACUCCGGGGAUAACAGGCUGAUACCGCCCAAGAGUUCAUAUCGACGGCGGUGUUUGGCACCUCGAUGUCGGCUCAUCACAUCCUGGGGCUGAAGUAGGUCCCAAGGGUAUGGCUGUUCGCCAUUUAAAGUGGUACGCGAGCUGGGUUUAGAACGUCGUGAGACAGUUCGGUCCCUAUCUGCCGUGGGCGUUGGAAGAUUGAGAGGG